AUCGAUGACUGUUCUCGUG
rnacentral:snRNA from 1 species